UACGGGGGGGGGCAAGCGUUGUUCGGAAUUACUGGGCGUAAAGGGCUCGUAGGCGGCCAACUAAGUCAGACGUGAAAUCCCUCGGCUUAACCGGGGAACUGCGUCUGAUACUGGAUGGCUUGAGAUUGGGAGAGGGAUGCGGAAUUCCAGGUGUAGCGGUGAAAUGCGUAGAUAUCUGGAGGAACACCGGUGGCGAAGGCGGCAUCCUGGACCAACACUGACGCUGAGACGCGAAAGCGUGGGGAGCGAACAGG
rnacentral:rRNA from 1 species